UGGGGAAGAUUGGACAAUGGGCGAAAGCCUGAUCCAGCCAUGCCGCGUGUGUGAAGAAGGUCUUCGGAUUGUAAAGCACUUUAAGUUGGGAGGAAGGGCAUUAACCUAAUACGUUAGUGUUCUGACGUUACCGACAGAAUAAGCACCGGCUAACUCUGUGACAGCAGCCGCGGUAAUACAGAGGGUGAAAGCGUUAAUCGGAAUUACUGGGCGUAAAGCGCGCGUAGGUGGUUUGUUAAGUUGGAUGUGAAAUCCCCGGGCUCAACCUGGGAACUGCAUUCAAAACUGACUGACUAGAGUAUGGUAGAGGGUGGUGGAAUUUCCUGUGUAGCGGUGAAAUGCGUAGAUAUAGGAAGGAACACCAGUGGCGAAGGCGACCACCUGGACUAAUACUGACACUGAGGUGCGAAAGCGUGGGGAGCAAACA
rnacentral:rRNA from 1 species